AUUUAUAUACACGCAAUUAUUGAUGUUGUUUAGUUAAUCAAUAAGAGAAAUUGGUUUUUAUGUAAUUUUUAUAAAAAUAUGAAAAACUUGGCAAUCAAUUCACUUUAACGAAAAUGGCAAGGUUAUGUUCGAAAUUAUGCACAGCUGUUGUAAAUUCGAAUGGCCACCAAGAAUGAUAGAAUACAACAUUACGACAACCGCCAUUAUGAAACGUCAUAGUUGCGUGUUGAGAAGAACAAGAGUGAAAAACUAUCAAAUGGCUUGCAAAUUGUAAACAGAAAAGUGAACACUUUUGUAAAUUCGCAAAAUAUUAUUAAUUCUUUCGAUUUUAAUGAAAAGUUUUAGUGAAGCGAUUGAAUAUUGUUGAGUGAAAAGAUUUGAAUCAUUUCUAAAGAAAUAUAUCGGCCUAUUGAUAAUAAAAUUGUCUAUUAAGUUGUGAUUCAAAUGGAGAAGACGUUUCUUGUGUUGUAUAUAAAUAUAUACAUAUAUUAUAAGUUCAGAUGUAUCAGAUGUAUGAAAUUAUGAUAAAAGAAUUGUGAAAUUAAUUAAUUAAAAAGGAUUUAGUAUUAAAUAUAUCAUUUCUUUUGCAAAAUAACACCCAUUUUUUUGGCAACUUUUAAAUCGGCCGAAAAACAGAAAAAACUCGUUUUCGAUCCUUUAAUUGCAUAAUAAUUAUUACAACAAGCCACUGCACAUUUCAUUUUAAAAAAUUAAUAUAUUUAUGCUUAGAAAUUUAAAUAAAUACAACAGUACACUUUCACUGGUUUUCUUCAUUUGAACAAUUUCCACACAUGCUACUCUAUUUAUUGUGGAUGUGCCUAAAACUACUUACAUAUAUCUUUUCUCGCAACAAUAUUCUAAACAUUCCACUGAAAUUUUUCCUGCAAAGACGAAUGAAUUAAUAUUAUUUUGGGAAUUUCCAAAAGUGUUUACUUUUCUGUUUACAAUUUGUAUGCAUUUCUAUACUUGUUCUUCUCAACGCAAAAGUGUGACGUCACGAAAUUGUUGCACAAUGUAUUUGUUUUUGUAAGAAUUGUCAAGAGCUAAACCGAAAAAAACUAACGAAGAAUUCUCUGUUAACUGUGGCAUCGAAGAAUUCAUCGUUAACUGUGGCAUCGAAAAAUUCUUCGUUAACUGUGGCAUCGAAUAAUUCUUCGUUAACUUUGGCAUCGAAGAACUCUUCGUUACGCCGUGUUAAUUUUCAUCGGUCGGAGUAAGCGAUACAAUCAUGCUGCUUACCUUGCUUGCUUACUAAUGUCUACCAUAUCCCGCUGGGUAGUUGCUUAACACGUUGGCUGCCAAUGUAUCACCGGUGAUCGCAACAAAAAACUACCCCCAGGUGCCAAUGUAUCACCGGUGAUACACGCCUAGGCCUCUAGAAUUUAGGGGCUGGGGACUUAACGGAAGGAGUUUUAAGAAAGACGAAACUGCAAUUCAUUCGUGUAAACAAAAAAAAAUUAUAUAAAUUCAAUGUAUUUGCUGAAAAUGAUUGAGGCAUAAAAAUGGAGACCGAGGACAUUGCCGCAGUAUGUGGAUACAAGUUUGGCCUUCUUCCUUGCAGCUGACGAAGAGGUUGCAGUCUUCAGUUCAGAAUAGCAGCCUCCGCAGCGAUAUCUCUUUCGCCUUCCGUCCUUUGUUACUUCCACUGAUGUCGUCAAAAUGUGCUUGCCUUGAGGAGGUGUUCGCGAAAUUGAAGCGCUAUCCCUUCCACUUAAAUUUAGAAUUAUAUUUUGACGAAAGUCAGAUAUUUUCAUACUGGAAUUACUUUCGUUAUACAAAAUAUAUGCAUUUACAACCGCCGUAUUUAAAAGAAUAUCAAAAGCAACUUUAUGAAACCAGCGAAUAGUUUUACGGAGAGGACUGAAGUAACUAGCCAUUUGAUCAGACAAAUCUAUUCCUAUAGUGGGAAAAAAUCAAUAAAUAUUUAUGUAUUGAAAUAAACGAAUUUUUAAAGCUCUCAACAAACCUUGUUUGCAUUUGUUGUACUCCAUUAUUACAUUCGGUUUUAAAACAUCUUGGCCGAGUCUAUUAUUUUUACCUGAAGGUACAAGUGAUCCGUUGUUUACAGUGGACAAGAAACAAACUUCUCUUUUAUCUCUCCAGUACCCGACUACGAUUCCAGAUCUUUCGAAAGUAACAUUAUCGCCUCUUUUCAGCGACCUAGGCAAUUUAGGUAAGCCUCUCCGGUUUUUUCUUAGAGUUCCCUGUAGAUGCGUUUUUCUAUUUAAGAGAGCAUUGCCCAAUUCGAUAGAAGUAUAAUAAUUGUCGACCGUAAGUGUACGGUUCUCUCCAAAAUAACCUUCCAUCAGUUGAAGGCAAAUAUUCGUUGCAAGAGAAAGUCCCGUGGUUGUAUCUGAUUUUCCAGUAUAGAGUUUCAAAUUAUAUAUGUAUGUAACCUUUUGUAUCUGCCAAUUUGAACACCUUGAUUCCAUAUUUAUGUGCUUUGCCAGGAAGGUAUUGCCGAAAUCGUAAACGACCACGGAAAGGUAUCAUACUUUCAUCAACAACAAGGUUUUUUCCAGCUGGUUUAUUUCGUUUAAAGGUUACAAUUGAUUCCUGCAAGAGUUUGUCAACUUUAAAAGUUUUAAACACUGUUUUAGACAACUGAGCUUUAUCUGCAAAGUGAACACAUUUUAUCAAGAUCUGGAACCGGUUACGAGCCAUAACGUGUGGGACGAAUGGCUUUUUGAACAAGGUAGUUGCUUUCCAAUAGUCCUCCAUUGAAGGGUAUUUUACCAUACCCAUAUACAUGACUAUGGCAAGAAACUCCAUGAUCUUCUUACGAUUCGUAUCCUUCCACUUAUUCAUCCUGCUGCGAGUACUAAUCCCACAUAUUUGAUAAUUAGCAUUUCUAUUAUUAAUUACUGUCAUCACUCGAUGUAUCACUGCUGGAAUCUGGGAUGUACGAUUCUUCAUCUGGACUAAAAUCUUGUCCACUAUCACUGGAAUCUUCUGCUGAUUCCAACACCUCCCGUAUUUCCUCGGAAUUCAUAACUUCACAACUUCACUUCACUUUCUCACUGAAUACUUGAACUGUUUGCUAUGAACUCUAGCUUUACACUGAUUUCCAUUUCGCAAUGUGAUCACCGGUGAUACACAUUGCAAAAAAUUAUUAACAGUUAAAAAAAAACAGCAAGUGUUCACCGGUGAUCACAGCAAAAAAAUAUUCUCAAACGCAUCGGGAGCAUGACUUUUAUUCAUGGUAAAAAAAUCCCAAUGUAACUCAAAGCACAGCAUGUAUUUUUUUGCUUGGCAACUGGGAGUAGUUUUUUGCUGUGAUCACCGGUGAUACAUUGGCAGCCAACGUGUUAAAAGAGAAAACAGCUAUUUAUUUGUGUUUGGUUUUGACAGGAAACUAAAACCACAUUCAGCACGCAGUGAAGAAAAUAUACGUAUAGUAGCCUUAGCUGAGAGUGUACACGAAGACCGGUGAAAGUCGAUUCGGCGCCGUUCGCAAUAACUCGGACUGACCUAUGGAACGACUUGGCGCAUUUUACAUUGAGAUCUUAAAUGGAAAGCGUUUAAAAUACAGCUUUUAUAAGAACUGAAGCCGCUUGACCUUCCCAAGUGACAUCGCUUCGUUCUAUGGGUCUUUGAAAAGUUCCAAGAACAUCCGACUCUUUCCAGCCAAAUUUUCUUCAGCGAUAAGGCCCAUUCAAUGGGUACGUAAACAAGCGAAAUUGCUGCAUUUGGGACGAAGAGCAAUCUGAAGAGAUUCAUGAAGUGUCUUUUCAUCAAUGAAAAAACAACGAUUUGGUGUGAAUCAUCAGUCCCUAUUUCUUCAAAAAUGAUGCCGGUGAGAACGUAGCCGUCCAUGGCGACCGUUAUCGCGCCAUGACAAUCGACUAUUUGAUGAUGCCUGAAAAUGAAGCUCGUUCUCGGCGACAUUUGGUUUCAACAAGACGGUGCCACUUCCUGCAUAUCUCAUCAAUCAAUGUAUAUAGUGAGAGAACACUUCGGUGAACAGGUAUAUUUACGUUUUGGGCCAGUCGAGUGGUCACCAAGAUCGUGUCAUAUCACACCGUUAGACUUUUCCCUGUGGGGGUACAUAAAAAAAAUCCUGCUUCGCUUCAGGCCUUGGAGGGCACAAUUCCGAUUUCUCUGGCGCCGUGAUCUGAAGGAAAGAGGAAGUCCUCCUGAUUAAAAAAAUAUAAUAACGUACCACAAACGCUUAGCAGAGAACGUCUAUCAAGAGAAGGUUCACGGCGCGGAGAUCGUAAAAAUAUUUUUGGCUAACUCGGUCGAGAUGGUCCAGUUUCACCACUGCCAGCUCGGCAGGAGAAAUUUUAACAUUUUCGCUCGAACAGAGCUGAGCGUGAAAUAAAAAUUAUGCUCAAAACUAUAUAUUGCUCUAACAGACGUAUGUUCGCUCUUUUGCUUAUAUUUUUAUACGUUUAUAUGCAAACAUGUGUAUUCGCAUGAAUUCUUUUUGUGCUUAUUAAUGAAUACAUGUGCAAUUGAAUA